rnacentral:rRNA from 1 species
AUCUACGGCCAUGCCAUCCCGAACAAGCUCAAUCCCGUCUGAUCUUGGAAGCUAAGCAGGGUCGGGCCUGGUUAGUACUUGGAUGGGAGACCACCUAGGAAGACCAGGUGCUGUAGGCA